UGCGUAGGCGGCUAUGUAAGUCAGAAGUGAAAGCUCUCAGCUCAACUGAGGAAUUGCUUUUGAUACUGCAUAGCUUGAAUAAGGUUGAGGUCGGCGGAAUGUGGCAUGUAGCGGUGAAAUGCAUAGAUAUGCCAUAGAACACCGAUUGCGAAGGCAGCUGACUAGACCUUUAUUGACGCUGAGGCACGAAAGCGUGGGGAGCGAACAGGAUUAGAUACCCUGGUAGUCC
rnacentral:rRNA from 1 species